rnacentral:RNase_P_RNA from 1 species
CAAGCAGGCUGGACAGCCGCGCGGAUGGGGCGAAAGGCCCAUCUGUGAGGAAAGUCCGGGCUCCACAGGGCAAGGAUAACGGGUAACACCCGCCGGGGGCGACCCUAGGAAAAGUGCAACAGAGAUAUACCGCCUCGUUCUCCUUGAACGGGGUAAGGGUGGAAAGGUGAGGUAAGAGCUCACCCGAUGGCGUGGAAGCGCCCAUCGCUGUAAACUCUAUCCGGAGCAACGCCGUGGAGGGACAACAGGCUGGCCCGGCCGUUCCAUGGAGGCGGCUUGAGUGCGUCGGCAACGACGCAUCGAGAUAGAUGGCUGUCUUAAAAGACAGAACCCGGCUUACAGGCCUGCUUGCGAU